rnacentral:rRNA from 1 species
GAUGAACGCUGGCGGCGUGCUUAACACAUGCAAGUCGAACGGGACUAUUUUCAAACGAAGCUUCGGCCGAGGGAGGAUUUAGUCUAGUGGCGGACGGGUGAGUAACGCGUGAGCAAUCUGCCUUCAAGAGGGGGACAACAGCUGGAAACGGCUGCUAAUACCGCAUAACAUAUAUUUGUGGCAUCACAGAUAUAUCAAAGGAGAAAUCCGCUUGAAGAUGAGCUCGCGUCCCAUUAGCUAGUUGGCGGGGUAGAGGCCCACCAAGGCGACGAUGGGUAGCCGGACUGAGAGGUUGAACGGCCACAUUGGGACUGAGACACGGCCCAGACUCCUACGGGAGGCAGCAGUGGGGAAUAUUGCGCAAUGGGGGAAACCCUGACGCAGCAACGCCGCGUGAUUGAAGAAGGCCUUCGGGUUGUAAAGAUCUUUAAUCAGGGACGAAGGAAGUGACGGUACCUGAAGAAUAAGCUCCGGCUAACUACGUGCCAGCCGCCGCUGUAAAAC